AGCGAUGACGCCACCGGGCAGAGGCAGGGACGAGACGGUUGUCGGCUCUCUCAUUCGCACUCUGCCCGCCGCCGCCGCCACCGCCUCCGCUGCCGCUGCUGCUCUUGUUUCUGCUUCUUCCCUGCCGCCGCGAGGUCAAGUUUCUUCUCCACCGCCGCUCCAUCGGUCGGGCUCGGGAACCUUGUCCGGCCUCGCCCACGGGAGUGCUGUCUUCUGUGACUCUACGUCGCCCGGGCGCUAACGCCGCUCCGCUCAUUUCCUCGAUGGCGAUGAACAUGGCCGACAACCACAUGGAGAGCUGGGAGGCGCUGGUGAACCAGGUGGAGAAGUACCGCCGCCAGACGGGCAACGAAGUGGCGCUGCUCACCGCCUACCAGCCGCGCACGCAGCCCGGCGUCCUGGCGUACGCCGUGCAGGGUGGCGGCACUCUCGUCGAGGCCACCCGCCGCUUCCUUGACGACAUCGCUGUGUGCCACCGAGCCACCCUGCUCGUAGCGGCACGUAAGGUCCAGGGGGCGGCGGCGGCGGCGGCGGCGGCGCCAGCGCAGCCCGACAAGCAGGGGGCCAACACCGCCGCGGGCUCCGACAGAGACAUUUACUCGCAGAGCUACCCCUCCAUCUACGGCCGCGGCUCCUUCUCCGCCACGCCCAGGGGUGUGCGGGAGCCGGUGUCGCUUGUGCUGCACAAGGAGCGCAGCGGCGAGCCGGUGCCCAGCAUAGACCACGCGGAUGCUGGGCAGCCGGUGAAACGCAGCAUACAGCAGCACCAGCAGCAGCAGCAGGAGGAGGACGACGAUGAGGACGACGAGGAGGAGGACGAAGAGGAGAGGCGACGUGACAGCCGCGAUGCCGGAGGUCUGUUUGUCAUGGAUGAAGACUCGCCGAUCAAUGACUGCGAACCGUUCUUUGAGUCGGAUGGAGAGGAGGAGAGUACUGAUGACGGCAGCUUGAGUGAGGACACUAACCCCAGGGCCGGAUGCCACCAGUACGCAAAGUCACUGCCCGUUCGAGUGCCAGUCUGGGGCUUCAAGGAGCAAAUCGAGCAUCAGCAGCACGUACAGCAUCAGCAGCACGUACAGCAUCAGCAGCACUUCCAGCAGCAGCAGCAGCAUCAGCAGCAUCAUCAGCAGCAUCAUCAGCAGAAGGGCAAGCACCAGGACGACCCAGACAAAGAGGCCAGGAUGAACGCGCCGGACCUGGAUCAGAUCGGAGCCAGCAUGAAGGCCCUGGCCAUGAGCGUGACGGACGGCACGGAGAUGUUCGGCGACCUACCGCGGCCACGUCUCAACACGGGCGAAUUCCAAAAGCUCUACCGAAAGAAAAAGUGAGCUCCUCUUUGCGAGCGCCACGCACACCACCGCCCGGCGCAGUGAUGCGGAGAGGAAUGAACAUCAAGAGGCCAUAUAGGAAACACAUCAUCGACUGAAGACCCAUAGCCUGGCUCACAGCGGUGUAUAUAAGAUAAAAAUAUAUUAUUUUUAGCCAUUCUCAAUCAAUGGAUGAAGGCCUCCCCCACACCAUGUUGGUCAUUGCGGUUGUUACCAUACUUUACCGUGGUGGUCAGAGGUUUCGUGAAGGGAGUGCAAGACCGGCCAGGUAUCGAACUCGGGUCGCCAGGUUAAUUGCUCCGCCACCACCGCACCCCUCUUUGCUGUGUACUUGGCUUCAUGUGAACCUGUUUCUUAGUUUUCGAACAAAUGAGAUGUUCAGUUUCAUCACGCUGAAUGCACACUGCUAAGCAGCAUUUAAUGAGAGGACUUGAUUGACGCGACUUUAUUUUCAUGUGCUUUUUUGAUUGCCAAUUACACACAUUAACCCCUCAAUGACCAGUGUCAAUAAAAUAAUUGUAAAUUACACGGUGGGUUCAGUGACCCCGACUCGGUACGGAAAGCAGUUUGCAUUAGUUUUGGUUGCUUGUAGUAGGGCAUUUGGAUAUUGUUUGGGUAUAUUACAGCAUAAAUUUUUGUCCACUGAAGCAAAUAGCAUAUAUGCAGGCAAGUUUAUCAAAUUGUCAUUUUUUAUACUCGAGUAAAGCUUUGGGAUUUUUGGAAUCAAUUGCCUUGCAUGUACAAUAGUUAUACACAGUAUGUUGUGCCGUCCUCUGUCAAUGCAAAGUAUACCUAAUUUCAAUACCCCUUAAAAUGUCCCCAGAAUUAAAAAGUUCUGCUUAUUUUUUUAGCAAAAGCUUUACAUUGCUCCAAUUGACGUGGCUCAUUAUGUUUUCAUCAAAAAGAUGAUGUGUUUCAAGUGGGAGAUAAAAAAAAAUACAUGCAUUCCUACUCAAAUUAUUAUAAUGUUGUCAGUCCAACUUUAAGACUCGCAGCACAAAUAUUUUAGUUUUAAUUCAGGUCUUUGGGGCACGUAAUUUUAUUAUUAUUAGAUCCUGGUCCUUAAGGGGUUACUGGAAAAGCUCCCUAAUGGAGCGCUCUGGUGAAAAGCUACGUUGAAGGACGGCGACUUUGUUUGCCGUGAUUUCGCCUUGUGGACCGGACCAGUUGCGUGUUAUUGCAUUAUUUACAUACAGGUGAGUGUACAAACCUGCAGCCAAUGAACAGUGCUUUGAAGUCACUUUUCAAUUGCAUACGAGGCCUAUGCCAUUUAAACCUUAGCUAAACCCAAUUGCAUUCACAUGAAUAAUUAUCAAUCAUUAUUCAGCUGUCAACAUGAUUUGCUCUCAUGGACACACAAUUCCUUUAGCACUUUAUGAUGCUCCAUUACAUAGAGCGUUCACCAUUGUUUAGCAGAAAAGGGUUAACGGGCAUUUCUAAUUCAAUUAUACGGAUAUAUAAGUAUAGAAAUCCACAGCAUUGCAACGGCAACCAUAUGUUUUAAUAACAGAUUUGUUGUGAAAAAAGAUUGCUACAGUAUCUCUCGCAAAGUAUUACGUGUAUUUUGUUGAAUCGUGCAGCAUAUGUUUGCAAGCCCAAUGUCCUGUGUUUUGGGAAGAUGUAGCUUGUUCUGUUUGCUGGGGAUAAUAGCAAACUGCAAGCAAAUCCCAUCAAUUCUGAUAGUACAAUGCAUUUGAGAAAUUAUUUUUAAAAGGACAAUUAUAAAACCAAACUCUUUGGGGGCAUUCUAAAAGAAAAAUGUCUGUUAUGUAACGUGUUUGAAUUGUGAAUGAAAGUGCGUUAACAACGGUGUGUGUGUGUAAGCGAUGUGACAACUUGCGCAAAAUGUUACUUGUAAUUUAAAUUAGGUCUACUUAUAAAUAAUAUGUGAAAUACAUCGCAAACGCUUAGAACAACUUCUGUAAGUGCACGUACCGUAGCCAUAUGGUAACAACGUAUAAGGUGAUUGUUUUUCACCACAGUAGAGGCAAAGGAUUGGCAACAAAACAACGUGAACAUUUAUCGAGUGAUAUUCACUACUUUUUGUUUGAGUCACUGGGCGAAACAGCACUUCACAAUGAGUCAAACGUUAAUCAUCUUCUCCAUGUAUGCAUUUUCAGUUUUAACUUGCGAUCGACACGAGUUAAAUCUUAUGUUACAACGUGCGAGCUGUUUCCUUUCACCAGAUGUCAGCCAUCGACACUCUCUAAACUCCUCAACAUGAACUCCGCUCCAGCAUCCAUCAACUAAAGGUCUAUGACACAAACCUAAAAUGACAAAUCUCUUCCCACAGGUAUUAGAGGCGUAUGUACAGCAUACCACAUGAUUUACUGUCCCCGGUCACUUGGCCUCGGUGCUUUUGACUUCCAGGGUCCGUUUCUCUUAGCUCGUCAGGAGUUGUUUGCUUUCCAUCUCUUCGGGAACGCUCUGUUGCAGCAGCACCCCAGGAGAAUUUCGGUGACCGACCCCUCACGGACCGAUCGCUCACGAACCGAUCGCUCGACACACGCGCACGGCUGCAAGCGAUCUUACCGAGUGCCGGGCCUUGCGCUAAUGUGGCCAGACCAGCGCCGGCCUCCGUCAUUGCCCAGGCGGGGGGCGGGGGGUGGGGGCACCUACCCAAGACUCACCCCAGACUGCUGCCAUUUUAUGUAGAACCCUCCCAACUGCCAUAUGUCAACUUCUCGUUCAUCAGGCUCAUGUAGAGCAGCAACUAUACAUUUGCGCUGGGGUGAUCGAGCCCGGUAUUUGCAACAGGAGUAGCGGACUUUUAUCGCCGUGAUUCCUCCUCCGCAUUUGUAAAUCGGGCAUUGAGUUGAGUUAUAUUCUGAGUGUCCCAGGACAGACCAUGUCCCAAGAACCCAGUCAAACGUGGACAUGGGGCCACGGCAGCACCCCAAGCGAUGGUUCUCAUGGCAACACCUGGUGGAGCAGCUAAUUGGGAUCAAGAAUCACUAGGAGCAGGAGUUUAUUUUUUUUAGGGACAUCCAGGGGAGGACCUCGAGGCUAAAUUCUUGGAGAACCAUGCAAGUGACUGAAUCUUGUGGCAUUCACAAGCGGCCCAGCUGCAAUAUUUUAAGUGUGAAAUAAAGCACUACUGCCUGCCACUACAGAGGAGGUUGUGUGACCAGGCGCCAUGAAUCAGGUGAUAUUCUCGACGGCACUAAUUCCCACGGCGGAGUUGUUGUUUUUUGUUACAGGGGAAGAAUUCUGGAACGUAUGUAGGUUUGACAUCCGUGCCAAGACUGUGUUCAUGACCUUUAUAGUUGAUUUUGUUCCAAGUUUUCUUUGUUGUCCGUCUUUUAAAGUUUGACCUUAAGUGUUUUACAUGAGCAACACAAAAUUGAAUUUGGUUCAGUAGGUAGCGUGGAGUCUGCCUAAAAGGGGCAUAAAGGAUGAGGUAGGGAGGAAGGACGAGAAUAUGGUAAAUAUAAAGUGCUUUUGGAAAACCCCAGCAACCAGCGCGUUGAGGGCUGUGUGCAGCCUUGAGUCGUUUAGUAGUACUUAGGGGGGAAGAAUAUGAUUUUAAAGUACAGCACUGUACGUUUGUCAUUCUCUAAAAUUACACGACCAUAAUUAUUGAUUAGUCAAAUGCCACGAUCAUAAUAAUUGGUGUGGGAAAAGGUUAAGAAUUGCCCUGCACAUAGAGCUUGCGCUACCACAGAUGGGUGGGGCCUUGCUCUUCAGCAGUGGUCGGCAAACGAUAACAAGAAGAGACAUUCUUUUCGAAUUCGGCAAACUCAAUAUUUCAAGAACCGCAAUGCAUGUGAAUGCGAGAGACGGUGGUGCUUAAUAAAUAACGUCACGAAUUAGUCCUUAAAGAGCCUCAUGUCUCCGGAGCCGCGGGUUGCCGAUCCCUGCUCUUGGGAGUCUGUGAGCCAGCGUGAUGCUGCAGCUGCUGCUGCUGCUUACUGCCAAGCAGGCAGGCUGUAAAAGGUGUGGAUGUGUCCACGCAUGGGUGGGUGGAUGAAGGAAGGCAGUUCUGGAUUGAGGAGCUCCCUAGAUGUUUCAGAGCGCCUUAGAGAAUUCAGUUUUUUUUAAUGCAGUUAGCCCAACUUUCUGAAUGAUAUACAUUGACAAGUUUUUCUGCGAAAAUAAACUGAACGCGCAGGGUGUUUCGUGGUUUCAGUUGAACGUGAAAAAACCUGAAGCUGAGAGUGUUCCCUUGUAUGUUAUGAAAUGCCACUUGGCUCCAAUGGUAAAGCAUGGAGUGAUGCGCGAUUCGUAAGUUCUGAUUCAUUCUUGCGCUCAAGAUUCGUGCAUUGAAUCGCGGAGGUGAAUCAUUUGCUCCAAAAAAUAUUGUGCAAAUUAUGUAUUGUUACAUUGAGGCUGAUGCUUUGUACAUGUAUGGUUCUGUGAAUGUAUAAACAAGGCAACAACAACAAAAAAUUCCACCCAAGAAAGAAUUGGAACGAGAAUCGUCUGGAAUCAAAUUUGUGAAUCGUGACAACUGGUAGAGCCGCUGCAGGAAUGAAUCGUUAUGAUGCCUUUGAUAAUGAAUGCUUCUGGCCUAGAUUUGUGCGCAAAUGUGUUUGAUUCGCCGCUGCUCAGCAUCAUCUGCACAUUUGUUUUGAUGUAUGGUUCGUCGGAUUUGUAGUGUAUUUUGUAAUGUUUCUGAAUUACGGAUGUGGUUAGCUUAAUGUUGGCCAGAAAAAAAAAGUGCAAAAAAAUAAAUAAAAGUUGAAAAUAAGAAAAAAAUGCUAAAUACAACUUUGUUUUUGCAUUAAUGAAGAUUUAAACAACUUUUUGUAGCGUAUUCUGAAAGUAUUUUCAGCAUUAAAUAGGUAGACUUUAUAAUGCUCAAGGAUUGUAGCGAAAUUAUUUUCUUUGCUGAAUUUUUCUUUCACAUUAGAGCGGGGUUUUUUUUUUCAUUCAAAAAACACGGAAGGUGGACUUUGUUCUGUUCUUGUUACAAAUGUAAUUUGUACCAUUGUUCCAUUUGUUACUGUCAAGAGUAUGCAAUAGACUCUGCAUGCUUUAUCACUGCAAAUUGUAGCAACAGUGUGAGAAAACACUAUCCGAAUAAAGAUGACCUGUGAUAGCA